AAUCCAAAGAGAAUAUACUCCUAAUUAUACCAAAACUCGGUUCGCAAGGCAUAUCUUUAUAAAUAUCUUUAAACGAAAAUCUUUAAUAUCCAUGUAUCCUCUUUAAACCUAUUUAUUUUGCUAUAUAUACUAUCUAAGCGACACAUUCAAUCUAAACUAAAGCACACAACUUAAGCAAACAAAAUAAAUGCUACACCAAAGUUAUCAUAUACAUGUCCGAUAUCAAGCUUUACAAAACUGAAUGGUGGAUCGCAGUGAAAGUUGUUCACACCAGAUAACAAUUCAGUGAACAAUUUGGUGAGACAUUGGAACUCAUUUUCUCUGACAAGAAGGAUCAAAAAAUCAUGCAUCAUGCAAAAAACUACUUGCUUAGUUUGGGCAGGGACUUCCAUGUGGGUGAUUGGAAAAACAGAGAAUUAUUUCCACUAAGUGCAGCAGCUGGUGGAUACUAACCUACCACUCACGUUAUAAAAUGGGGUUUAUGAAGUUCACCUCCAUUACUCCAUAUAAAUUCAGUAAUAUGGUGUUGGCCCAUUCGGGACCCACCACCUAGGUCCGGCGCCAGCCUGCGUCUGUACCGGUUAAGGCCCUGGACACGCCUUCCCGCCCGAGUUCGAACCCGCGUUCCCUCAGCCGAAGCCUCGGGGUACCACUGGACUAACUCGUCCGGGUUCUAGUAUGACUUAUCAUCCUGAAACUUUCGCGUUCUUCCUAAUUCGAACAAGUUAAUUUGUGUCAGUCUCACUGGUUAAUUAUAUCCAUCAGGGGAUAAAUGAUUAACUAGUUGUUGAAUGGGUGAUUUUACUUAAUAUUCAUAA